AUUGAACGCUGGCGGCAGGUCUAAUACAUGCAAGUCGAGCGUGCGGCGGACGGUUGAGGAAUGUCUGGGAACCUGCCUGAUGGAGGGGGAUAACUACUGGAUACGGCAGCUAAUACCGUAUUCCAUCAGAUGUGCCCAGUGGGAAUUAGCUAGUCGGUGGGGUAAUGGCUCACCUAGGCGACGAUCCAUAGCUGGUCUGAGAGGUUGACCAGCCACACUGGAACUGAGACACGGUCCAGACUCCUACGGGAGGCAGCAGUAGGGAAUUUUAGGCAAUGGACGAAAGGCUGAUGCAGCCAUGCCGCGUGUGUGAAGAAGGCCUUCGGAUUGUAAAGCUCUUUCGGCAGAGAGGCGUUAUCCACCGAAAAAGCAACGGCUAACUACGUGCCAGCAGCCGCGGUAAUAC
rnacentral:rRNA from 1 species